UACGUAGAUUGGUACCUAU
rnacentral:piRNA from 1 species